GCCUCGGUGGUGUAGUGGUAGCACGUGGCCGCGGUAUGGGUGAAACGCCGGUUCAACUCCCGUUUGAGGCU